rnacentral:tRNA from 2 species
GCCUCGGUGGCCUAGCCGGUCAGGGCAUCUCCUUGGUAAGGAGGAGGUCGCGGGUUCAAAUCCCGCCCGGGGCUCCA